GUAAAAUUGAUGAAUAAGAAUAGUAACGAAAAUCGUAUGGUUUAGAGAGCUAGUGGUUGGUGUGAACUAGUGCAUACCUUUCGUGAAUGGGUCUUAUGAGAGCAGCUGGCGUUAGUCUGCUGACGUUUUUCCUACGUUAUAAGGAAGUGUUUAUUUCGUUUUUAGUUAAAUAAACACGCCAAGUGGAAGUAAUUCGUAUACUUCAACAGAGGUGGCAACGCGGUAUUUAUCGUCCUCUAC
rnacentral:ncRNA from 1 species